rnacentral:rRNA from 1 species
GUUGACCGGCCACAUUGGGACUGAGAUACGGCCCAAACUCCUACAGGAGGCACCACUGGGGAAUAUUGGGCAAUGGGCGCAAGCCUGACCCAGCAACGCCGCGUGAAGGAAGAAGGCUUUCGGGUUGUAAACUUCUUUUAAGGGGGAAGAGGAGAAAAAAAAACCCUUUGAAUAAGCCACGGCUGAAGUACAUACCAGCAGCCGCGGUAAUACGUAGGUGGCAAGCGUUGUCCGGAUUUACUGGGUGUAAAGGGCGUGCAGCCGGGAGGACAAGUCAGAUGUGAAAUCCCGCGGCUCAACCGCGGAACUGCAUUUGAAACUGUUUUUCUUGAGUACCGGAGAGGUCAUCGGAAUUCCUUGUGUAGCGGUGAAAUGCGU